UUCAUUGGUUAUUUUUAUAAAGUUAUGCAAUUCCUAACUCAAAUUUAUUGGUCAUUUGCAAAUGGAAUCAAAUGCCUAUCAUUUCUAUUGGAUAGACUUUAAGAAAAUCCAUUAAUGACAUUUAUUUAAAUAUUUGAUCCCUAUUAUGUGCCAGGCAGAAUAUAUCAGUAAACAAACAUGUCCUCUUGGAGUUUACAUUUUAGUGUGAGAGCAAGAAAGCAAGCACAUGAAGAAAACAAUGUGUAGAGAUAAGGACUAUAAAGAACAAGUUAGGAUGGGGGCAAAAGGUUACUGGGGAGAAAGGGAGAAGGAAGGGGAGAGACAGAGGGGGAUUAGUUUUGCUUUGGUUGUCAAAGGAAGGCAUCUUUAAGGCUGUAACAUUUUUGAUGAGACCUGUUAAAAGAUAAACUAAGGGAUAUUAAAAAGUUUAUCAGAGCAAAAAUUGAUUGGAAUUAGGCAGUGCCAAACCAUAGUUAUGAGUGCCGAGCCAACAGAAUUCAGGGGAAAGACUUAUUUAUUUAGAUAAAGUACAGAAGCGAAGAAAGGAAGUUAUUUGGCUAUAUAUUAAAGUCUAGUUGGCUUUUAGUGAUUGAUUAUCCUUAGUGUUUUGAUAUUGGAACAUUGAGGCAUUUAUAGGCUUAGAUUUGGGUUUGCACAUGUAGGCCAGUGUGGCAUUAGAGCCACCUCAGUCUAAUGGACUACUUGUUUAAUUAAUAUAACAGAUUUGAAGGAUAAAAGGAGCUAACCACUCUGAGAUCCAGAGAUGGAAGAGAAAGGCUCUGAUGCAAGAAUUGUGCUUGGUAAAGUUGGAAAGAUGAAAGGAGCAGGUGGAGGGUGUCCCCAGGGAAAGAGAAGAACUAUGGUGUAGUAAGCAGCGUGUGCAUCCAUAGGACCUUCAAGCCUGGGACUCUGAAGGUUUCAAUUCCGGGUUGCCAUGGUGGUGAUGAGAGCACUCAGAAUCUGAGAUUCUUAAAUCUCGGAACCAUGGAACCUGCGGGUGGCUAAGUGCUUGGGCUCUAACCUCGGAAUCUGAACCCUUAUUUUUGCCUAAGGUGAAUGCUCAUGGUAUGUGGCAUCAUUUUCUUUUGCCGGGCAAGGGUGAAGGCCAUAGUUCCCAGUCAACCAUGAUUACGAAGUAUUCAUAGCUCUCUAUACAUUUUACAGAAGCUGGAGAUGGAUUUUUAAUACUGUUUACCAACUGUACGGUUUUGAUGGACACUUUAAUCAUGUAAUACAACUGCAAAAUCUACCACUGGGAGCUAUACAAGUCUUGAACCAAAUUGAGAAAAGAAAUUACAUGAACACAGCCAUUUUAUGUUGAUGUUAACUUGAGAAAAAAAGAACCAAAAAAGUUCAUAACACAAUCAUUUUUUCAAAUAAUUUUUCAAGUGUCAUAAUCUUCCUUAAAUUAAUACCCCGUGUGGUAAUUAAUGUUUUUUGAUGCUCUGUUGGUUUUGUUUUGCUACAAAAUAACAUUGCUAAUUAGUAAACUAACAACUACAUCUAAACCUUCUAAAAUGAUAAAGGACCAACAUUCCUCCAAGCUUGCAAGCCCUAAAUUCCACUGGCAGCUGCCUUGUAGAAUUUCAUAGGCUUUUCAACAUCUAAAGUACCAGAAUGGAUUAUGAGCUAUUUUUAUGUGAGAAAGCUCCUGGGACGUGGGAUGGAUUCAGUUCUCCUUUAGGCUGGACGACCACCCAUCCAGAACGCUAGAAAAUAAAUUCAAGCACUGAACACAACAUUUCUAAAUAAACUUAGUCUGGUCAGACUCUCAGAGUGACCCCACAGUCCCCAUUUCCUGGGGUUCACUCCCUUGUGGAUCCCAUCCCUUCAAGUGUGGGCAAGACCUAUGUUUGCUUCUAACUGAAAAAUUUGGUAAAGCUUGUCUUAAGCAUAACAGGAAAAUGUCAAGGAAACAGAGGUACCAGGUUUGCAGAACCUUGGAAAGUUUUAUUGAUCUUGUGAUUCAUGCCGGUUUCAUGAUGUCUCAAACCCAGCUCAAGAGAAUAAACUUUUGAAAAAACGUAUAUAAUCAAAGCCAUCCUAAAUUUGCAACAUUGAUUACAACAAUG